AUACUUACCUGGCAGGGGAGAUACCAUGAUCACGAAGGUGGUUUUCCCAGAGCGAGGCUUAUCCAUUGCACUCUGGAUGUGCUGACCCCUGCAAUUUCCCCAAAUACAGGAAACUCGACUGCAUAAUUUGCGGUAGUGGGGGACUGCGUUCGUGCUCUCCCCUA
rnacentral:snRNA from 1 species